AACCUUUCAUGAGGGACCUUGUCAAAGGCUUUCAGAAAAUCUAAAUACACUAUAUCUACUGGAUCCCCCUUGUCCAUCUGCUUGUUGACCCCCUAAAAGAAUUCUAAUAGAUUGGU